AGAGUUUGAUCAUGGCUCAGAUUGAACGCUGGCGGCAUGCUUUACACAUGCAAGUCGAGCGGCAGCGCGGGGGCAACCCUGGCGGCGAGCGGCGAACGGGUGAGUAAUACAUCGGAACGUGUCCCGUAGUGGGGGAUAACCCGGCGAAAGCCGGACUAAUACCGCAUAUUCUCUACGGAGGAAAGUGGGGGACCCGCAAGGGCCUCAUGCUAUGGGAGCGGCCGAUGUCCGAUUAGCUUGUUGGUGAGGUAACGGCUUACCAAGGCGACGAUCGGUAGCUGGUCUGAGAGGAUGAUCAGCCACACUGGGACUGAGACACGGCCCAGACUCCUACGGGAGGCAGCAGUGGGGAAUUUUGGACAAUGGGGGCAACCCUGAUCCAGCCAUGCCGCGUGCGGGAAGAAGGCCUUCGGGUUGUAAACCGCUUUUGUCCGGAAAGAAAAGGCCACUCCUAAUACGGGUGGUUCUUGACGGUACCGGAAGAAUAAGCACCGGCUAACUACGUGCCAGCAGCCGCGGUAAUACGUAGGGUGCGAGCGUUAAUCGGAAUUACUGGGCGUAAAGCGUGCGCAGGCGGUUCGUGAUGUCUGGUGUGAAAGCCCCGGGCUUAACCUGGGAAUUGCAUUGGAAACUAGCGGGCUGGAGUGUGGCAGAGGGGGGUGGAAUUCCACGUGUAGCAGUGAAAUGCGUAGAGAUGUGGAGGAACACCGAUGGCGAAGGCAGCCCCCUGGGCUAACACUGACGCUCAUGCACGAAAGCGUGGGGAGCAAACAGGAUUAGAUACCCUAGUAGUCC
rnacentral:rRNA from 1 species